UACGUAGGGACCGAGCGUUGUCCGGAAUCAUUGGGCGUAAAGAGCGUGUAGGCGGCUAUUUAAGUCCUGCGUGAAAUCCUGCGGCUCAACCGCAGACGGUCGUGGGAAACUGGAUGGCUAGAGUGCGGGAGAGGAGAGUGGAAUUCCUGGUGUAGCGGUGAAAUGCGCAGAUAUCAGGAAGAACACCCGUGGCGAAGGCGGCUCUCUGGACCGAGACUGACGCUGAGGCGCGAAAGCGUGGGGAGCAAACAGG
rnacentral:rRNA from 1 species